rnacentral:rRNA from 1 species
CAAUAGCGUAUAUUAAAGUUGUUGCAGUUAAAAAGCUCGUAGUUGGAUUUCUGGUGGAAGCGACCGGUCCGCCCCUCACGGGGUGUGCACUAGCGUCUGUCUUUUGCCAUCCUUGCGAAGAAGCGGUGUGGCAUUAAGUUGUCGCGCCGUCUGACUCGCAUCGUUUACUGUGAAAAAAUUAGAGUGUUUAAAGCAGGCAAUUGCUGUGAAUACAUUAGCAUGGAAUAAUAAGAUAGGACUUUGGUACUAUUUUGUUGGUUUGCAUAUCAAAGUAAUGAUUAACAGGGACAGUUGGGGGUAUUCGUAUUUCGUUGUCAGAGGUGAAAUUCUUGGAUUUAUGAAAGACGAACUACUGCGAAAGCAUUUACCAAGGAUGUUUUCAUUAA